rnacentral:tRNA from 6 species
GGAGGAUUCGCCUAGUUGGCCUAGGGCGCACGAUUGGAAAUCGUGUUGGGGGCAACCCCUCAGGAGUUCAAAUCUCCUAUCCUCCGCCA